rnacentral:rRNA from 1 species
AUUGAACGCUGGCGGCAGGCCUAACACAUGCAAGUCGAACGAGUGGCGGACGGGUGAGUAAUGUCUGGGAAACUGCAUGAUGGAGGGGGACAACUACUGGAAACGGUAGCUAAUACCGCAUACCAUCGGAUGUGCCCAGAUGGGAUUAGCUAGUAGGUGGGGUAACGGCUCACCUAGGCGACGAUCCCUAGCUGGUCUGAGAGGAUGACCAGCCACACUGGAACUGAGACACGGUCCAUACUCCUACGGGAGGCAGCAGUGGGGAAGAUUGCACAAUGGGCGCAAGCCUGAUGCAGCCAUGCCGGGUGUAUGAAGAAGGCCGGCGGGUUGUAAAGUACGUUCAGCGGGGAGGCGUUACCCGCAGAAGAAGCACCGGCUAACUCCGUGCCAGCCGCCGCGGUAAUUC